GAUGAACGCUAGCUACAGGCUUAACACAUGCAAGUCGAGGGGAAACGAUAUUGGAAGCUUGCUUCCGAUAGGCGUCGACCGGCGCACGGGUGAGUAACGCGUAUCCAACCUGCCCAUCACUUGGGGAUAACCUGGCGAAAGUAAGACUAAUACCCAAUGAUAUCUCUAGAAGACAUCUGAAGGAGAUUAAAGAUUUAUCGGUGAUGGAUGGGGAUGCGUCUGAUUAGCUUGUUGGCGGGGUAACGUCCCACCAAGGCGACGAUCAGGAGGGGUUCUGAGAGGAAGGUCCCCCACAUUGGAACUGAGACACGGUCCAAACUCCUACGGGAGGCAGCAGUGAGGAAUAUUGGUCAAUGGGCGAGAGCCUGAACCAGCCAAGUAGCGUGCAGGAUGACGGCCCUAUGGGUUGUAAACUGCUUUUAUAAGGGAAUAAAGUGAGUCUCGUGAGACUUUUUGCAUGUACCUUAUGAAUAAGGACCGGCUAAUUCCGUGCCAGCCGCCGCAGUAA
rnacentral:rRNA from 1 species